rnacentral:rRNA from 1 species
GGGGGGGGGGGGGGGGGGGGGUGGGGGAGGGGGGGGGGGGGGGGAGGGCGUGCUUGCGGGGUACGCGAGGGGCGAACGGGUGGGUGAGACGUGGGUGGGGUGCGCGGCACGUCGGGUUACGCUGUGGGGACGGGGGCUAAUACUCGGUAGGGGGCAGCGUGAGUGUGGUGGGUGGAAAGUUUUUUGGGUGUAUGAUGAGUUGUCGGCGUAUCAUCUUGUUUGUGGGGUGAUGGCCUACCAAGGCGGCGAGGGGUAGCCGGCCUGAGAGGGUGUACGGCAACAUUGGGACUGAGAUACGGCCCAGACUCCUACGGGAGGCAGCAGUGGGGAAUAUUGCACAAUGGGCGCAAGCCUGAUGCAGCGACGCCGCGUGGGGGAUGAAGGCCUUCGGGUUGUAAACUCCUUUCGCUAGGGACGAAGCUUUUUUGUGACGGUACCUAGAUAAGAAGCACCGGCUAACUACGUG